UGGGGAAUAUUGCACAAUGGGCGAAAGCCUGAUGCAGCAACGCCGCGUGAGUGAUGAAGGCCUUCGGGUUGUAAAGCUCUGUCUUUUGGGACGAUAAUGACGGUACCAAAGGAGGAAGCCACGGCUAACUACGUGCCAGCAGCCGCGGUAAUACGUAGGUGGCAAGCGUUGUCCGGAUUUACUGGGCGUAAAGGAUGCGUAGGCGGAUUUUUAAGUGAGAUGUGAAAACCCUAAGCUUAACUUGGGGACUGCAUUUCAUACUGGAAAUCUAGAGUGCGGGAGAGGAGAAUGGAAUUCCUAGUGUAGCGGUGAAAUGCGUAGAGAUUAGGAAGAACACCAGUGGCGAAGGCGAUUCUCUGGACCGUAACUGACGCUGAGGCAUGAAAGCGUGGGUAGCAAACAGGAUUAGAUACCCUGGUAGUCCACGCCGUAAACGAUGAGUACUAGGUGUAGGAGGUAUCGACCCCUUCCGUGCCGGAGUUAACGCAAUAAGUACCCCGCCUGGGGAGUACGGUCGCAAGACUGAAACUCAAAUGAAUUGACGGGGUCAUAGCUGUUUCCU
rnacentral:rRNA from 1 species